rnacentral:rRNA from 1 species
UCUGGGAUUAGGAUCCCCACUAUGCCUAAAUGUAAACCUUUACUUACAUCCUUAUCGCCUGGAUACUACAAGCCACGCUUGAAACCCAAGGGACUUGACGGUACCCCACACCCCACUAGAGGAGCCUGUCACAUAAUCGAUAAUCCCCGCUUAACCUCACCACCCCUAGCUUAUUCAGUCUGUAUACUUCCGUCGUAGCCUACCUCAUGAGUGACUCUUAGUAGGCCAGAUGAUCUACAUCAACACGUCAGGUCAAAGUGCAACCAAUAGGGCGGAAGUAGAUGGGCUACAUUUUCUAAAUUAGACUACACGAAAGAUCUAAAUGAAACUUUAUCAUGAAGGUGGAUUUAGUAGUAAGGGGAAAAUAGAGUGCUCCCCUUAAUGCGGCACUGGAGUGCGUACAAACCGCCCGU